GGGGCCACCCUGACUCUGAAAGACGGUGUCCCGGCAGAGAACUUGCUUCACAGCUGCGUGAUGCCCUUUGCUUUCCCAGCCCACCGGAGAUCCUCCUUCAACUUUGAGUGCCUGCGCCGGCAGAGCAGCCAGGAAGAGGUCCCGUCGUCUCCCAUCUUCCCCCAUCGCACGGCCCUGCCUCUGCAUCUAAUGCAGCAACAGGUGAGCGGCCCACCUGGCCUUGUCCCCACACCUAGGGGCACCCCACAUAGGACCCCCAUCAGGUCACUCCCUUCUCCUUGGCCUUAAGCACCAGGAGGGAAGGAGAGAAUCUUCACCUACAGUCUAGUUAAUCUUUGUAACAAUCCUGUCAAAUAGCUAUGGCCAUGAGUCCCAUGCUGCCCAAGCUCACACAAGUGACUGCUGGCAUUUGAAUCCAGGGAGCCAGCUGCCAAAGCUGGCCUCGCUGCCCAGGUGCCCCCACCACCUCUUCCUGGCAUUGAAUACAGAGCCUGAUGUGAUCUGAGCUCAGGGAGUGGGGGCCACUUGGCUGAUUCUGAACAAUCGGAGCAGCCCUUCAUUUUCUCUAAGAAGUGGUUCCUUCAUUAAGUUUAUGGGUCCCUCCAUGGGCAGGGCCCUGUGGGUACUAUGCAGGGUUAACCUCCCCUGCCUACAAAGGGAGCAGUCUGGGGAGAACAAUUUGCCCACGUUGAGGGCGGCUGCACAGGCAAGAGGGUGGGGCCGGAGCCCACUCACCAGGGCUUUCCCUCAAGGAUAACAAUAUGGCGCUUUUUCUUUCUGAAAAUAUCACAUCAGAGAUGCCAUUCAUUCGUGCACGACAGGGUGGUGGGCAUGGACCUGUGCUGUUUACAGACAGCGUUCCCCGUCCCUCUCUGCAGAGUGUGAACCCCAAGGUGCAUCUGCUGUGGUGGGAUUGUAAGACCGGGGCUUGUACCCAGUGCUUUAGCACAUGCCAAAUGCCGGCUCUAGGAUGCAUUACUCCAGAGCAAAGAGAACCAGCUGUUUUCCUAUAAGUGCUGGGAAGUGGUGGUUUCCCCUGAAUGUACUUCGGUAUUUAAACCCAGCAUGAACUGGGUGGUGUGUUCACACCCACAGCUUGUUGGGCUUCCCUGAUUCUUCAUUCUGAAGCAAUUUCAUGAAUUAGCAACUGAUACCUCCUUGGGAAAAGCCAAAGGAAAUGCAUUAUGGAUUCGGGGUAAAAGAAAGCACAGUCUGCUAGAAAACAAAGUCAUCACCGCCCAUUCAUUCAGCGUACUUCAGUGUGCCCAUGUCCUUUCCAAGUCCUUGCCUGGACUGCCCCUGGAGAGCGCAGCGCCGGUGCUUGGUCUGUGUGCAGAAGGUUUGAGGCCCGGACCUCUGAGAACCUCUGGUCUCCCAACAGUCCCCUCUUUCCUCAGAUCAUGGCAGUUGCCGGCCUAGAUUCAAGUAAAGCCCAGAAGUACUCACCGAGUCACUCGACCCGGUCGUGGGCCACCCCUCCAGCAACCCCUCCCUACCGGGACUGGACACCGUGCUACACCCCCCUGAUCCAAGUGGAGCAGUCAGAGGCCCUGGACCAGGUGAACGGCAGCCUGCCGUCCCUGCACCGCAGCUCCUGGUACACAGACGAGCCCGACAUCUCCUACCGGACUUUCACACCAGCCAGCCUGACCAUCCCCAGCAGCUUCCGGAACAAAAACAGCGACAAGCAGAGGAGUGCGGACAGCUUGGUGGAGGCAGUGAGUACGGUUCUUGGCCGUGGUGGGCAGGAAGCACCAGGAGCAGCAGAGGUGCAACUGUAACAGCAGGAAGGGCAGUGGUGGGAGGGCAGCCAGGCUGUGAGCUAGGCUGCCUCAAUCAGACACCUCUGAGCAGCAGGAAUGUACCUGAAGCAUGAGUAAAAACUGGUCACCACCACUGGCUGCGGUGGCUUACGUCUGUAAUCUCAGCACUUUGGGAGGCCGAGGCGGGUGGAUCACCUGAGGUCAGCGGCUCAA
rnacentral:sRNA from 1 species